GUCCAACCUGGUGUGAUCGAUGGACUUUGAGGAUUGGAUGGAUCAGUUUCUGCUCACAAGGUCAAGAAAAAAACUCUUCUAAAGAUGCCAGUAGGUGUGGUUAAAAUCAUCAGUUAUUGGAGCCACCUGGGCCUGGUGUUCUCCAGUAUAAAAGCAUGUCUCAUGUUCUGCACUGUGGGCUAGAGAGGAGGGAAACCCUGUUCCCUAUGCUCCAUGCUCCUCCUUAUUUUUGUUUCUUUCACCAUACAACACUCCACUCACUAUUUCUUCAAGCAUGCAUACCUGCUGACAUGACUGACCUAUUGAUUAUCACACUUCAUAGGAUUAUUUGAAUAUCAAGUUGUUUCUGUUUGUUUAGAAAUAAAAGUAAUGGUACCAUACUGCA